GGGCCCGGCGGCUGGGCGGGGGCCCCCCGAGCGCUCAGGCAGGCGGGGAGCGGGCGGUGCGGGGCCGGGGGAGCCGGGGCGCAGCCGCCGCCGCUGUUUGUUAUUGUCGUCAGCCGCUUCCGGAGCCGGGGAACGCCGGGAGGGGGCGGCCCCGGGGAGGAACCGGGCGACGGAAGCGGUGGGGCAGGGCCUCGCUUCUCCUCCUCGUAUCGCCGGCGCGGCCGCCGGGCUGAUUUCAGCCCCCCCGACGCCUGGGAACGGCCCGCUCUGCCCUCCCCAGGCUGUGGGGAUCCUCUCGCCGCCUCCCUGAGUUGGCUCAUGAGUUCUUUGUGAUUUGUUUUUUGGCACGAAGCAGCCCCUGAGUCUCCUCGGGGGCUGGCCCCUUGUUCCUAUGCUGGGAAAGCGAAAAUAAACUUUGUACGCCUCGCUUUCGGGUUUCUCUUUUAUUUUUGGUUUCUCUAGUGGUCUAGUCACGUACGAAAGAGCAGGAUAGCGGGCGGCGUGAGGGGGUUUGCCUCAGCUGCAGGUGGGGGUCACGGUGCUUGGGUUCAGGACAUCCUUAGAAGAAGCAAGGCUCCCUUAUGUCAUAUCUUUUCCGUAUCAUAUUCUUGUGUUAUAUUUUAUGCGUAUUGUUGGGUCUUAUGUGCUGCAGCACCGUGACCUCUCCUGUAACCUAAACCAUAGGCAGCAGGUCAGGGAAUAGAAGAAAUUCAAAGCACAAUGCCGCGGUCAGAAUAGGAAGCAAGCGCAUAAGAGGAGGGAUGCAAAGUGAGAGCACAGGCAUCUCAUUUUCAGCCUGCAGGACAGAUGGCAUUUAGUAAAAUAACUAGGGUCAUUAUAAAGAACAUUUUCUUCCCCCCUCACCUGAGGUUUCUUCUUAGGCCUCUAAGUCUCAUCUCAUGUGCACAGCCCUUCACCCAAUUUUAUUUUUUCCUUAGUUCAUCAGCCAAAAAAACACGCUUUCUCACAAGCUAGACCAGGCUUAUGGUUUUCACGGUAAACCCUGAAGUAGUUAUUUCUGUCAGGAUGAAGAGCUUCCUGCCUGUCUGUCAUGUUAAAGACAACAAUGAACAGCCACAGCUUGUGCAGACAGCAUCAGUUCUGUACCACAGAAAUACAGAAUGGUUGAGGUUGGAAGGGACCCCUGGAAGUCAUCUGGACCAACCCCGCUGCUCGAGCAGGGACCCAGGAUCAUAACCCCGUGGCUUCUGAAGAUAAACAAGUAUCAUAGACUUAUGGAGGAAAACCUAUCCAACAGAGACAUGAAAAAAUUCACUUUCCAUGGGAAAUGAAAAUACAGCCUGACAAGUUUGUGUGAGCAUUUGGUAAGGACUCCAGUGCAGACAUUCCUGGCAUAAUGUUGUUGUAGGUGUAGGAGCAAGUUAGAUAUGGAACAAGAAAUGCUUUAAAUAACGUAUAACAUAAAGCUCAGCUCAAAACUGUUCUUUAUGCAUAGUUUUUAAACCAUUAAAAAUCUUCUGAUGACAGAGCAGCAAACUUGCUACUGCACAGAAUGCAUCCUUUCAUUUCCAGUUUUGUGGUUAAAUACUAGAGC
ensembl:lncRNA